rnacentral:rRNA from 1 species
CAGCCGCGGUAAUUCCAGCUCCAAUAGCGUAUAUUAAAGUUGUUGUGGUUAAAAAGCUCGUAGUAGAACCUUGGGCCUGGCUGGCCGGUCCGCCUCACCGCGUGCACUGGUCCGGCCGGGCCUUUCCCCCUGUGGAACCUCAUGCCCUUCACUGGGUGUGUGGGAAAACAGGACUUUUACUUUGAAAAAAUUAGAGUGCUCCAGGCAGGCCUAUGCUCGAAUCCAUUAGCAUGGAAUAAUAGAAUAGGACGUGUGGUUUAUUUUGUUGGUUUUCUCAGGACCGCCGUAAUGAUUAAUAGGGACAGUCGGGGGCAUCAGUAUUCAAUUGUUCAGAGGUGAAAUUCUUGGAUUUAUUGAAGACUAACUACUGCGAAAGCAUUUGCCAAGGAUGUUUUCAUUUAUCAGGAACGAAAGUUAGGGGAUCGAAGACGAUACAGAUACCGUCGUAGUCUUAACCAUAAACUAUGCCGACUAGGGAUGGGACGAUGUUAUUUUUUGAGUCGUUCGGCACCUUACGAGAAAUCAAAGUGCU